GGACGCAGCAGUAGGCAAUCCUCUUUAAUGGACGAAAGUCUGACGUACCAACGCCGCGUGAGUGAUGAAGGCUUUCGGGUCGUAAAACAUCUGUUGUUACGGGAAGAACAAGUGCUAGUUGAAUAAGCUGGCACCUUGACGGUACCUAACCAGAAAGCCACGGCUAACUACGUGCCAGCAGCCGCGGUAAUACGUAGGUGGCAAGCGUUAUCCGGAAUUAUUGGGCGUAAAGCGCGCGCAGGUGGUUUCUUAAGUCUGAUGUGAAAGCCCACGGCUCAACCGUGGAGGGUCAUUGGAAACUGGGAGACUUGAGUGCAGAAGAGGAAAGUGGAAUUCCAUGUGUAGCGGUGAAAUGCGUAGAGAUAUGGAGGAACACCAGUGGCGAAGGCGACUUUCUGGUCUGUAACUGACACUGAGGCGCGAAAGCGUGGGGAGCAAACAGGAUUAGAUACCCUGGUAGUCCACGCCGUAAACGAUGAGUGCUAAGUGUUAGAGGGUUUCCGCCCUUUAGUGCUGAAGUUAACGCAUUAAGCACUCCGCCUGGGGAGUACGGCCGCAAGGCUGAAACUCAAAGGAAUUGACGGGGGCCCGCACAAGCGGUGGAGCAUGUGGUUUAAUUCUAAGUAACGCGAAGAACCUUACCAGGUCUUGACAUCCUCUGAAAACCCUAGAGAUAGGUCUUUCUCCUUGGGAACAUAAUGACAGGUGUUUGCAUGGUUUGUCACCAUGUUCCUGCUUUUUAAAAUGUUCUGGUUUAUUGUUCUCCUAACUGAUUUCCUUA
rnacentral:rRNA from 1 species